CCUACGGGAGACAGCAGUGAGGAAUAUUGGUCAAUGGUCGGGAGACUGAACCAGCCAAGCCGCGUGAGGGAUGAAGGUACAGAGUAUUGUAAACCUCUUUUGUCAGGGAACAAAGGCGGGGACGUGUCCCCGGAUGAGUGUACCUGAAGAAAAAGCAUCGGCUAACUCCGUGCCAGCAGCCGCGGUAAUACGGAGGAUGCGAGCGUUAUCCGGAUUUAUUGGGUUUAAAGGGUGCGCAGGCGGUCUGUUAAGUCAGCGGUCAAAGCCCGGGGCUCAACCCCGGCCCGCCGUUGAAACUGGCAGUCUCGAGUUGGAGAGAAGUAUGCGGAAUGCGCGGUGUAGCGGUGAAAUGCAUAGAUAUCGCGCAGAACUCCGAUUGCGAAGGCAGCAUGCCGGCUCCACACUGACGCUGAGGCACGAAAGCGUGGGUAUCGAACAGGAUUAGAUACCCGUGUAGUC
rnacentral:rRNA from 1 species